AGUUGACGUUGAUCUGGCUUUUUGGCAAGUUGUACACGAAAAAGCCUGUCAUCGUUGCUGAUCCUAAACUUUGUUUCGUUAUCCAUUAAAAAAUUCGUUCGUUAUGUGGGUGAUUUGUGCAUUUGCGGUUUUCGUUGCUUCCACCGGAGCGAUGUACGUUGGUACAAUGGAAGAUUCAGAUGCAUACGAGCCGUCAAUGUACUACAAGAUGUACGCUGCUCAUUAUGAGGUGACUACGUACGAGUACACCUACCCACGCGUUCACGCCAGCUCCAUAUCGCGCUCGUCGAAAGAGGAUUGGGAACCGGUUCAUCGUUUGUUGCGCCACCGACACAGCCGAGAUGUGUCCAUCGACACAACAGCUGAUGACGACGCUAAUACUCCCAGUUACUUCGCCGAGGCUCCCAAGGACUUUCUGGCGCCGAAUUAUUACGAAAAUGAGGCGCCUCUUUCUUCUACUUACUCCGCACCGACUUACUACACCGAAACGAAGAAAUACGAUGCCAAUAGUCCCGGUUUUCCCGACGGCGAGAUUCCUCUCUACUUCUCAACAACUGUUCCUUUUUAAAAUAUCUUAUUUUCGAAAUAGCCGACGGUGUUAUCUCAUCGUUAGUAUUUAUCCGCAAAUCGUUUCUCAUAUCAAUAUAUCAAUGGUUACUAAAUUUA